UACUGCACUAACGAGAUAGUAAAUAACAAUAAAUACUUUAGGGAAAGAGGAUUCGACUUUAUGAUCAGGCUUGAAGAAGGUAGGACCAGCAGUAAAGAAGCAUGAAUACAGCAAACUUUGGGAUCCUCGACGCAACGACAAUAAGGUUGGAGUUGGGCUUGAGCUCAUCAGGAACUCAGAGAAACAGAUGUACAUGUUA
rnacentral:lncRNA from 1 species